rfam:Salmo salar isolate Sally breed double haploid chromosome ssa07, whole genome shotgun sequence.
CUCACUACUUACUGUAAGUCGCUCUGGAUAAGAGUGUCUGCGAAAUGACUAAAA